rnacentral:rRNA from 1 species
GACGAAACGCUGGCGGCGUGCUUAAACACAUGCAAAGUCGAAACGAUGAAGCCUUUCGGGGGUGGAUUAGUGGCGAACGGGUGAGUAACACGUGGGCAAUCUGCCCUGUACUUUGGGAUAAGCCUUGGAAACGGGGUCUAAUACCGGAUAUCACUUACCUCCGCAGUGGGGGUUUUGUUGAAAGUUCUGGCGGUACAGGAUGAGCCCGCGGCCUA